rnacentral:rRNA from 1 species
UACGUAGGGGCCUAGCGUUGUCCGGAAUUAUUGGGCGUAAAGAGCUCGUAGGCGGUUCGGCAAGUCGGAUGUGAAAUCUCCACGCUUAACGUGGAGGGGCCAUUCGAAACUGCUGUGACUCGAGUCCGGUAGGGGAGUGUGGAAUUCCCGGUGUAGCGGUGAAAUGCGCAGAUAUCAGGAGGAACACCGGUGGCGAAGGCGGUUCUCUGGGCAUGUCCUGACGCUGAGGAGCGAAAGUGUGGGGAGCGAACAGG